AGAGUUUGAUCCUGGCUCAGAUUGAACGCUGGCGGCAUGCUUUACACAUGCAAGUCGAACGGCAGCACGGGUGCUUGCACCUGGUGGCGAGUGGCGAACGGGUGAGUAAUGCACCGGAACGUACCCAGUAAUGGGGGAUAACACAUCGAAAGAUGUGCUAAUACCGCAUACGCCCUGAGGGGGAAAGCGGGGGAUCGUAAGACCUCGCGUUAUUGGAGCGGCCGAUGCCGGAUUAGCUAGUUGGUGAGGUAAGAGCUCACCAAGGCGACGAUCCGUAGCUGGUCUGAGAGGACGACCAGCCACACUGGGACUGAGACACGGCCCAGACUCCUACGGGAGGCAGCAGUGGGGAAUUUUGGACAAUGGGCGCAAGCCUGA
rnacentral:rRNA from 1 species